UUAAAUUAUUCAUCACUAUUUGAUUCAAUUAUCAUCAAUAUAUCUCAGUAAAUAAUAUAUUUCUCAAAGAGCAAUUGAUUUGAUAGCGUUACAUUGAAAAUAUGAUCGUCGAAAUGUGUUUGGUAGUGUAUGUUUUAUAUUUAAGAAAAAACCAACAAAUAACAAAAAAAAAUAGAAAAACCGACAUAAAUCGAAUCGAG
rnacentral:lncRNA from 1 species